UAUAAUAGUAGUUUAUGAAACGGUUGCAUAAUGAUAGGUAUUAAAACAUGAGUGUGAGUUAAUAGUAUCACACGAGUGUUGAAAUACCUAAUUAUGUAGAGUUUCAUACACUACUUUAUCUAAACUCAUAUUAUCUUAAGAUCCAAACCAUAAAAUCUUGGUAACAUAGAUAUUUUGUCAAAGUCAUUUAU